rnacentral:lncRNA from 1 species
CUAUGUUACAAUGAACCCUAUUUAUAUGUAUACAUAACACAUAACCUACUCCUAUUACAUAUGACUAGAACUAAUUACUUAUAUUCACAUAACUAUUCUAUCAGUACACGCAAGUAGUGAUAUAUUCACCAAGGUUUUUUUUUCUUUUUGCAUAUACAUCCGCAACUUCCUCUUCUAUUGAUAGUGAGAACCUUCUGUAAAAAAAACAACUUAAUUUAGAGAUUCAAAAGAGAAGCAGAAUUAUAUUAGUACUAUAAAAGAUAAAAAAUAAAGUUGCGGAAGAUCUAUCAAAAAUAGUUUAAUAGAAAUAAAUAGAGUUGAAGAAUGUACUUCAUAGUUCAUACACUACAUGAAUUGUUUUUUCACUAUUUUAUUCAAAAGAACUUCGUAAAGUACAACCUUUUGGUUUAAACCACAACUGAAAUCAAAUAUUUCUCGACGUACUUCAACUAGUCUACUUAGAAGACACAAAAAACAAAAACCAUGGUGCAACUUGAGAUCACUGUUAGUAGUAAAUGCAUUCCGGACACAAAAGAAGAUACUACAACAGAAUGAUAAAGAAAGUUCCAUAAAUGAUAAAGCAGUAAAGGUGUCCUGAAAAUAUUGUUUGUUGCUUGCUGAUGAUGCUUGAAGUACGGAAAUCAACAAGUGAAGGUUGCAGCAAGUUUUAACAACAGAAGGAAAAAUUUUGCAAAAAGAAAAUUCAGAGUGAAGGAUUUGUAGAUGAAUAAGCAGCAAAAUAUACAGUAAUGAAAUUGACAUCAAAAUCUCAAAUGAUUUUGAGAUGUAAUACUAUUAUUUAUUAAUGUAACAAAACUCAUCUUAAGCUCUUCACCUUGCUUGAUCUCAGAAGCACUUAGAUGAUCCUGCAGAUUUUGGCAUGCUUCCUCAAUUUUGUGUAGUCCACUGUCUUAUAGAUUUAAGUGAACCAUCUAAUAAUAAGUAGAGAAACAUGUUAUUUACUAUAAAAUUGAAAAAGUGAAGCAUCUAGUGUAUCAACGGCUUGCAGCAAGGUUUUAGAAGAAGGAAAGUUUCAAAAAGAUAAAAUAAAAUGAAGGAUUCCUAGAUGAAUAAACAUUAAACAUAAUUGUAAUGACACAAAAUUAUCAAAAAAAAUAAAUUAAAGUGUAUUAAUAAUCAAUGUAACAUAAAACCAUCUUAAGCUUUUCACCUUGCUUAAUCUCAGAAGUAUUUAGAUCAUCUUUCGGUCUUUGGCUAGCUUCCUCAAUUUUUGUUAUCAGGCCUAAAAGUCAACCUUCGAAAAUGUGAAAUCAUACUAGU